AGCCUCCGUUUAUGUUGUGAUCAGCGAUGAUCAGCUCUUCAACUUGAGAGUUUGAUCCUGGCUCAGAGCGAACGCUGGCGGCAGGCUUAACACAUGCAAGUCGAGCGGGCCCUUCGGGGUCAGCGGCAGACGGGUGAGUAACGCGUGGGAACGUGCCCUUCGGUUCGGAAUAACUCAGGGAAACUUGAGCUAAUACCGGAUACGCCCUUUUGGGGAAAGGCUUGCUGCCGAAGGAUCGGCCCGCGUCUGAUUAGCUAGUUGGUGAGGUUAUGGCUCACCAAGGCGACGAUCAGUAGCUGGUCUGAGAGGAUGAUCAGCCACACUGGGACUGAGACACGGCCCAGACUCCUACGGGAGGCAGCAGUGGGGAAUAUUGGACAAUGGGGGCAACCCU
rnacentral:rRNA from 1 species